rnacentral:rRNA from 1 species
UACGUAGGUGGCAAGCGUUGUCCGGAUUUAUUGGGUUUAAAGGGUGCGUAGGCGGCCCUGUAAGUCAGUGCUGAAAUAUCCCGGCUUAACUGGGAGGGUGGCAUUGAUACUGCGGGGCUAGAGUACAGAUGAGGUAGGCGGAAUUGACGGUGUAGCGGUGAAAUGCUUAGAUAUCGUCAAGAACACCUAUAGCGAAGGCAGCUUACUAGGCUGUAACUGACGCUGAGGCACGAAAGUGUGGGGAUCAAACAGG